GACGAACGCUGGCGGCGUGCUUAACACAUGCAAGUCGAACGGAAAGGCCCUGCUUUUGUGGGGUGCUCGAGUGGCGAACGGGUGAGUAACACGUGAGUAACCUGCCCUUGACUUUGGGAUAACUUCAGGAAACUGGGGCUAAUACCGGAUAGGAGCUCCUGCUGCAUGGUGGGGGUUGGAAAGUUUCGGCGGUUGGGGAUGGACUCGCGGCUUAUCAGCUUGUUGGUGGGGUAGUGGCUUACCAAGGCUUUGACGGGUAGCCGGCCUGAGAGGGUGACCGGCCACAUUGGGACUGCGAUACGGCCCAGAAUCCUACGGGAGGCAGCAGUGGGGAAUAUUGCACAAUGGGCGGAAGCCUGAUGCAGCAACGCUGGGUGCGGGAUGAUGGCCUUCGGGUUGUAAACCGCUUUCGCCUGUGACGAAGCGUGAGUGACGGUAAUGGGUAAAGAAGCACCGGCUAACUACGUG
rnacentral:rRNA from 1 species